rnacentral:rRNA from 1 species
AACGAACGCUGGCGGCGCGCCUAAUACAUGCAAGUCGAGCGAGAAGGUGUAGCAAUACACUUGUAAAGCGGCGAACGGGUGAGGAAUGCAUGGGUAACCUACCCUCGAGUGGGGAAUAACUAGCCGAAAGGUUAGCUAAUACCGCAUACGUUACCGGAACUUCGGUUUCGGAAAGAAAGCAAUACCGUGGGUAUUGCGCUCCUGGAUGGGCUCAUGUCCUAUCAGCUUGUUGGUGAGGUAACGGCUCACCAAGGCUUCGACGGGUAGCUGGUCUGAGAGGACGAUCAGCCACACUGGCACUGCGACACGGGCCAGACUCCUACGGGAGGCAGCAGUAAGGAAUAUUGCGCAAUGGACGAAAGUCUGACGCAGCGACGCCGCGUGGGGGAUGAAGGUCUUCGGAUUGUAAACCCUUUCGGGAGGGAGAUGGAGUGGGUAACCACUUGGACGGUACCUCCAGAAGCAGCCACGGCUAACUUCGUGCCAGCAGCCGCGGUAA